rnacentral:lncRNA from 1 species
ACAUGUGUUGCUGUCCCUGGUCUGCCAUGUAAGUCAUCCACCACUGAUUUGCUGUCGACUUCAAUUGUAAUAUAUUCUGAUAUCCCAAAUUCUUGGAUCCAAAGAAGACAUUGUAGAAGGGCCCAAGCUUAAGCUUCCUUGGGGUGAGGAAUACCAUGCUUUCACAGAGUUCUUGCUAGUAGAAAUGUGCCCUUAUAUAUCGUCUCCUAUGCAGAGUCCAGCACCAAAACAAGAUUGCUGUUGAAAAAUGGCAGCAUCAACGUUUAAUUUUAACAUACAGGAUCAGAUCA